CGUUAGAGCAUUGAGAGGACCUUUCCCUAGUACGAGAGGACCGGGAAGGACGCACCUCUUGUGUACCAAUUAUCGUACCCACGAUAAACGUUGGGUAGCCAAGUGCGGAGCGGAUAACUGCUGAAAGCAUCUAAGUAGUAAGCCCACCCAAGAUGAGUGCUCUCCUAUUCCAACUUCCCCAGAGCCUUCAGUAGCACAGCUGAGACAACGACGGGUUCUCUGCCCCUGCGGGGAUGGAGCGACAGAAGUUUUGAGAAUUCAAUAGAAGGUCACGAUGAGACGAGCCGUUUAUCAUUACGAUAGGUGUCAAGUGGAAGUGCAGUGAUGUAUGCAGCUGAGGCAUCCUAACAGACAAG
rnacentral:lncRNA from 1 species